AGAGAGGGAGGGAGAGAGAACAGGCAGAACCUGAUAUGUAAAUGAGCAGAGCAAAUGAAACUCACUUUUGACGACCUGAUGAUCAUCCAGACUGUGUUUCUAUUGAGAGAUAAAAGGGGUCAGUGCUCUAAAAUGAGUCUCUCCGGGAAGAGAGAGGAGGGGGGCCCUGCCUCUAAAAUUCAUCUCUCUGAGGGACAUGACACCAAAGCUAAGAGACCAAUCAAGCAGGAGAGACCAGCCUCCCCUGUUCCCAGCUGUGUGUCCAUGAAGAGUGACUGGUCUAUGAAUCCUCCUAUAAACUUUAGAGAGGAGACUUUUCUACUGAACAAAGGUAAGAAGAACUCAUGGGUCCUGGUCAGUGAGUUAAACAACACUGUCUCUAGUCAUUUCUCCUCCCAUUUUCCCAUUUAUUGUUGUUGUUUUCAUAAUCCAUAGGCUAAUCCUUUUGUCCAUUUUCAUAGUCCUAAAACAAUAUUAAACAAACACAACAUUCCCUUCCUGUGUGUGUGUGUGUGUGUGUGUGUGUGUGUGUGUGUGUGUGUGUGUGUGUGUGUGUGUGUGUGUGUGUGUGUGUGUGUGUGUGUGUGUGUGUGUGUGUGUGUGUGUGUGUGUGUGUGUGU